rnacentral:rRNA from 1 species
AGUGAACGCUGGCGGUAGGCCUAACACAUGCAAGUCGAACGGCAGCACAGGAGAGCUUGCUCUCUGGGUGGCGAGUGGCGGACGGGUGAGGAAUACAUCGGAAUCUACCUUUUCGUGGGGGAUAACGUAGGGAAACUUACGCUAAUACCGCAUACGACCUACGGGUGAAAGUGGGGGACCGCAAGGCCUCACGCGAUUAGAUGAGCCGAUGUCCGAUUAGCUAGUUGGCGGGGUAAUGGCCCACCAAGGCGACGAUCGGUAGCUGGUCUGAGAGGAUGAUCAACCACACUGGAACUGAGACACGGUCCAGACUCCUACGGGAGGCAGCAGUGGGGAAUAUUGGACAAUGGGCGCAAGCCUGAUCCAGCCAUACCGCGUGGGUGAAGAAGGCCUUCGGGUUGUAAAGCCCUUUUGUUGGGAAAGAAAUCCUGUCGAUUAAUACUCGGUGGGGAUGACGGUACCCAAAGAAUAAGCACCGGCUAACUUCGUGCCAGCAGCCGCGGUAAAAC